GAUGAACGCUGGCGGCGUGCUUAACACAUGCAAGUCGAACGGGAAAUAUUUCAUUGAGACUUCGGUGGAUUUGAUUUAUUUCUAGUGGCGGACGGGUGAGUAACGCGUGGGUAACCUGCCUUAUACAGGGGGAUAACAGUCAGAAAUGGCUGCUAAUACCGCAUAAGCGCACAGAGCUGCAUGGCUCAGUGUGAAAAACUCCGGUGGUAUAAGAUGGACCCGCGUUGGAUUAGCUAGUUGGUGGGGUAACGGCCCACCAAGGCGACGAUCCAUAGCCGGCCUGAGAGGGUGAACGGCCACAUUGGGACUGAGACACGGCCCAGACUCCUACGGGAGGCAGCAGUGGGGAAUAUUGCACAAUGGGGGAAACCCUGAUGCAGCGACGCCGCGUGAAGGAAGAAGUAUCUCGGUAUGUAAACCUCUAUCAGCAGGGAAGAUAGUGACGGUACCUGACUAAGAAGCCCCGGCUAACUACGUG
rnacentral:rRNA from 1 species